rnacentral:rRNA from 1 species
GAUGAACGCUAGCUACAGGCUUAACACAUGCAAGUCGAGGGGAAACGACAUCGAAAGCUUGCUUUUGAUGGGCGUCGACCGGCGCACGGGUGAGUAACGCGUAUCCAACCUGCCCAUCACUUGGGAAUAACCUUGCGAAAGUAAGACUAAUACCCAAUGACAUCCCACGAAGACAUCUGAAUGGGAUUAAAGAUUUAUCGGUGAUGGAUGGGGAUGCGUCUGAUUAGCUUGUUGGCGGGGUAACGGCCCACCAAGGCAACGAUCAGUAGGGGUUCUGAGAGGAAGGUCCCCCACAUUGGAACUGAGACACGGUCCAAACUCCUACGGGAGGAAGCAGUGAGGAAUAUUGGUCAAUGGGCGAGAGCCUGAACCAGCCAAGUAGCGUGCAGGAUGACGGCCCUAUGGGUUGUAAACUGCUUUUAUAAGGGAAUAAAGUGGGUCUCGUGAGACUUUUUGCAUGUACCUUAUGAAUAAGGACCGGCUAAUUCCGUG